rnacentral:lncRNA from 1 species
CUUAGGUAUGUAGUGAUUUAUCCAGUUGCAAUAGCUUAAAAUUCUUUGAGAGGAUUUUUAAAGACUUUAUUGUCUAAAAAUGAAUAUUUAUAAUGCUUUAAAGACAGUGGUUACUUAACGGCUAGGCUGUGAUGUUUGGAACCAUAAAGAAUGAAAUGAAAAAACAUAUUUAGAAAACUUCUAAGUGUGUUUUGAAUAGAUUCUGUGAAGAUGGAUCAAAUUAGUUGAAAAGAUAGAACUCCUUUUAGAAUGUGAUACCCAUAUUUAUAUAUUUGUUGUAUGUAUUAUAUAUAUGUACACAAAACCUAUAUAACUAUUGUUUUAUUCCAAUAUUUUUAAUGUCAAAUUAAGGUACCUAUUUAUUGUUUAUUUAUUUAUUUUUUUGUUCCCAGGAAACUCAGAUAUUUCUUUUAUGGUCAUGUGAAACAGUUUUUAUAUAUUGAAACAGAAACAUCAAAAUUCAUUAAGAACAAAGCUCUGGAAUAUUAAUCUGUCUGCCAGUUCUCAGUCUACUGAGAAUUUAUCUGCAUGUAAGUCUCAAAAGAAAAAAAAAUUGGGACUAUCCUGAAAAGCUGUUCUGUUUUCAGAAUACAAGUGAACACUGAAUUAUUUGGACGUAAAUUUCUUCCUGGGGUCCUGAAGAUAGAAUCCUGCAUUGCCUUAUGCUGAGUAUUUGCUUGGGAUUCUGAUUAUAAGCCUACAUCAAAGGAUCAUGCCAGGAGCUGUGUUAGCACCUCAUUAACGCUCCCUACACAAGAAUCUCAGGAGAGACUUCAGUUCCCAGAAAGAAAGAAAAGUUCCACGCACUCAUCAAGGUCUCCUCUUCCUGGUAAUGUUGGCUGUGUU